UACGGGGGGAGCAAGCGUUGUUCGGAUUUACUGGGCGUAAAGGGCGCGUAGGCGGCCAGCGCAAGUCAGUUGUGAAAUCUCCGGGCUUAACUCGGAAAGGUCAACUAAUACUGCGCGGCUAGAGUGCAGAAGGGGCAACUGGAAUUCUCGGUGUAGCGGUGAAAUGCGUAGAUAUCGAGAGGAACACCUGCGGCGAAGGCGGGUUGCUGGGCUGACACUGACGCUGAUGCGCGAAAGCCAGGGGAGCGAACGGG
rnacentral:rRNA from 1 species